rnacentral:lncRNA from 1 species
UAUGAUGUUAACCCAACUUACCUAUUUUCUGUCCUAGAAAUCGACAUUGUGAACUGCUCUAAUUUCAGUAGUGAUGCAACGUUUCAGAACUGUCAGAAGCAGUUAAAUUUGAGCAGUUCUAUGGACAACAGCAGAGAGAUCUGCACCGGUUUUGCAAAGCUGUCCCGCAGCUGUGGAGAGAGAAGAACUACUCUGUCCCUACAGGACAUCGGAAACUCUUACCAUUUUCUCACAAACCUCACUUCCCAAAUAACCCCUGGAAAUCAAAAACAGAAAGCAAGGCUAGUGACAACCUACCUGCAGAGUAUAGAAGCGGCCGUCCUUGCCACUGCGUCCAGAAAUCCAAAGGAAACACAGAAGGAGGAAGGGCCUUUUAUGGGUAAGGAAUCACAAGGAUGGUAAGCACAGCUCCCCUUCCCUGGUGCCAGGCUCUGUUCUACCGAGUUUGUGUUAUCACCUCACAAAAUCCUCCUAGUAGUGCUGGGGUAAGUG